CCCUUUCUUAGUGGAGAGAAUGGAGCCGCUGCGGCUGCAUUGGGAGAGGGAUCUGUCAAUCAAGUGUGGGUUGGCUAAUCCCGCCUCCUCCGCGGGCGCGAUUGGUCAGGCUGCCCCGGGGCGGGGCUUUUCUCGGGACGCUCGGGCGGGCAGUGGGCGAUUGGCGUGAGGCUCCUUCCGCUUCCGGGCGGCGGCCGCACGCGUGUGGUGCCGCUGCUCCUCCUGCCGCGCCCGGCGCCAUCCCCGGCAUGGACGGGCCGCGCUUCCCCUCCCGCGGCCCCACCGUCAGCUCCGCGGGACGGCCGAGCAGCACGGCGGGGAGGCUUUGCCGGGGAGCCGCUGUGUGCUCAGCCUCUCCCUUCGGGCCUGGGGGCCCUCAAAGACCCCCGGGCCGUCCUGGCGCUGCCGGCCCCCUCGGGGGGGAUCUGGAUUUUAUCCCGCCGGCCCUUUGGUGGUGCAGGCGGUUUGGUGGGCCGGGGCUGUCUGAGGGUCAAGGGAAAUCCGUGGAGAAGGGGCGGAUGGAGCCGGGUUGCGCUGGAGUGUGGCCGGCGGUGCGGGGUGAAGCCGCGGUGCUAAAGCGUGCCCGGGGCCGCGAGUGGCGGCGGGGAGGCCGCUCUCGGACCCGCAGCGCCGUUCACUCGGCGCCUUCUCGGAGGCUGCUUGUGGGCAGCUGGGUCUGUCUCCGUCCUGGCUUUGGCUGUGUCCGGCGACCGAUUUAACUGCGUUCAGUUGCCCGGGUUUGGUUGAUUUUUGUUGAGAUAAAGCAGGCGGUUUGUCCCUGAGAAAGUAGCGGUGCUUUGCAUGCUCGGGUUUGGUGCUGAGAGGGGAGACCCGAGUAGUUUGGCACAGCUUGACCUGUCACCCGAGCAGCUGGCAGGGGUGGCAGCGGGAUGGGAAAAUGGGACAAGAUUGGGCUGGCUGGCCGCGCAAAAGGAUGGUUCAGUCGGUGCUGGAGCAAGGGCAGAGCUGCCUAAUGUUAGCCAGAGAAGUGCUGGAUUUGGAACGUGUCCUGCAGACGGCCGCCCGUGCAGCCAGCUUUGCUUGCUCUCCUGGGCAGAUGCCGUACUCUUUCCAAGAAAUUGGCGCAGACCGUGGCAGUCUCCUAAAGCAUCAGGGCCUGUCAUAUAAUGAUUUAAAUCAUCUCUUCAGAAGAAAUAUUAAUGGGAUUCCCAUGAGACUUCUGACAUUUUGCUGAUGUUCCUGUUAGAAGACCUAUCACCUUGUUUUGAGAACACUAAUAAAAGCACCAGUAUUCAAACUGCAGGGCUUAAAUGCUCACAGUCAGUCAUAAACUGAGUUAACUUCAGGCAUUCUGCUGCAGAACAGAAUUAUGGUCUAUAAAUUUGUGGUUUAUUCUCACAUGGAGGUGGACAUCCAAGAAUGAUACUGUCAGCCGAAAAGGUUUUUAUUUGUUUUUAAAAAGGGGAGGGCUAAGGUAGCUAAUGAGAAAGAAAAGCCUCAUUUCAGCUUAUCAGAACAGGACACAUCUUCAUGUUCAAGUUGGAUAUCUCUGUCAUUCUGAGUUGUGAUAGUAACUGAAAAUGAAGUCCCUUGUUGUGCCCUAACAAUUGAGCUCUAUUUAGAUGGGGGUUUUUUUUUGUUUGUUUAUUGAAGUUUUUAAGUGGGAUAGCUUGAGCUUCAGCUGUCUUUCAUGCCAGGUAAAUAAUCUCAGUGUACCAUCACAGUAACAUCUGGCAGCACCAACAUAGCCUCAGUUUUCAGAGCAUUGUGAAUGCUUAAAAUGUACUUUAAAUUCUGGGCUGCCUAAAUUGUGAACACUGAAAACACAUCUAUGAAAAGUUCCUGGUUAUUUUGGAAAUACACUAGUUUUAAAAAGUUGUGCAACAAACAGCAGAAACAUAGAAAUGCUGUGGGGGUUUUACAGGGAAAUAGACAUUUUGGAAUCUGAACUGUACCUAAUUUCCUAUUUUGGAUCUAACUUGGAGAUCUAUAAGCAAGUUUGUUUCUGAACUGCAUAGGUAAUUAAAUAGUAUCCAUGGAUUUAUGGCAUAUUCGUAAGAGGGUGUUUGCGUUAGCCUUGAAAUACAGCAGUCCAUUUCAUAAAUGAGAGGGGUGAAGAAUAUUUACAAAAUGACCUGUGUCAAUUUACCUCGUGGGGAUAAACAUGACCAAAGGCAGUUUUUUUGAUUUAAACCAUGUAAAGAUACCUUUGGUAGAGAGGAGUCAUGGUAAUCAUCCAAGGAGAAAUGUUUGGGCCCCACAUUUAACAAACAGAAUGGAAGGUCAAGUUCAGGCUUUAAUGUGGACCUUUAAAUAUGGCAGUUGUUAGACUCGAUUUACUUCUUAAUGACACUGAUAUCACUGUGUGCCUCUUUUCACUGAGCUUUGUGAGUUGUGACACUGUCCUGAAGCAAGGACAAGCAGAAACAAUUUUGCAGUCUGAUAUUGUUUAGCAAAUAGAGUAACAUCUGCUGAACACUGAAAAAACUGCUAAUAUGACCUCUGUAACAGAGGAGCAGAUUUAUUCUUUGGGAUAACCAAGCUGCUUGCAACUGUUCUGGCAUAUGAAAAUCUGUUAUAUCCUUGUUUCUGAUUUGCAGAUGGUAGUGGGUUUUGAGUCUUUCAGUAUUAUGGAGGAAGCACAAUUUUAUGUACAUCUGUUUCCAUGCAGAACUGAGAAAUAUCAGCUCUAAUGAGAGCACUUCUUGCCUCUUUUCAUCCAGGAGUUAGGAGUGCUAAAUUCUUUGAUGGGCCUUAGAAAAAGACUGGGCAAGCUCAAGAAAAAAAUUGAUCUGCCAGAUAUAAAGACAUCAUUAUGGUAUCAAGUCCUGAACCAUAGAAGGCUUGGCAGUGGCAUUGUAACUAUAUGCAUGUCCUAUUCUUUGCUUCCUGUAUGCUCACUUUUUUCCAGUGUCACAGAAACAGUCUUGGUCUCUCGUAUGGCAAGUUGUACAAUUGUAAUUUACUUGAAGUGCUGGAAGUGUCUUGGUCUUUAGUAAGGCUGGGAAAACCCCAGGGCACUCACUGCCUGUAAGAAGGAUUCUUGAGCCCCAGUUAAGGUCUGCUGGCACGCUCUGUCACGGCAGCGGUGACAGGGGUGCUUUCAUUGGCUCAGUUUAUUUUAAAACCGUGCAGGUGCAGUGAGGCACAAGAGCAUCUGUGAUUAUUCUGUGUGUCGUGACCACGAGGGGGCCCUGGCAGCUUGGUCUGGGUGAGUCUGGAGUUACACACUGUGCUACAGGGGCAGGGGUGAUUGCUUGAUGCCUCCCUCUUGGGAGGUUUACAUCCCUCUUGUUCAGCACUUCUGAAUUACCUUACCUCUCAUAUAUAUAUAUAUAUAUAUAUAUAUAUAUUUAAUUACAGUAUUUUGCAGUGUAAUUUUGAGGAAUGCAUCUCGUUACAAAAACUCAAAUCAGCUUUAAUAAAUAGCACUGGCCAUUUGAUUUCCUUUGUGGCAGAAGACAGUACCAAGCAUGUCAUCUCAUGUGAGUUUCAUCUGUAUGAGCUAUUUCCUCAAGUAAAAAUUCAAGAGUUUUGCAGACAUCACUGUAUUUGUAAAGUAGAAGGAACUGGUAUGAACAAUCUUAAUUAUAGGCUUUUUUGUAUAUCUUAGAGUUUUUAACCUUGGUACUACAAUACUUAAAUAAAGAUUUUCUUUCUCUGCA